rnacentral:rRNA from 1 species
AUGGCCUAUCUCCUGCUCUAUGUGGAUGACAUUAUCCUGACUGCAUCUUCCUCGACAUUGUUGCACAGUUUGAUUGCCUCUCUUCGUACCGAAUUCAGUAUGACAGAUAUGGGUGAUCUUCAUUAUUUUCUGGGCAUCUCUGUCACACGCAGCAAGGACAGUUUGUUCCUCUCACAGGAGAAGUAUGCAUUGGAUCUUCUUGACAGAGCUGGCAUGUUGCAGUGCAAACCCAUCUCUACUCCCGUUGAUACUACCUUCAAACUUUCAGCCAAGUCCAGUGAUCCAGUUGCAGAUCCCACCGAGUAUCGUAGUAUUGCAGGCGGUCUUCAGUACCUCACGUUCACUCGGCCGGACAUCUCUUAUGCUGUGCAGCAGAUUUGUCUUCGUAUGCAUGAUCCUCGGGCUAAUCAUUUGCUCCUUGUGAAGCGUGUGCUUCGCUAUAUCCGCGGCACCACCGGCCAUGGCCUCACUUUGUUUCGACGCAGCUCCAACAAAUUGCUGGCCUAUUCUGACGCUGAUUGGGCAGGUUGCCCUGACACUCGCCGGUCUACCUCGGGUUAUUGCGUCUUUCUUGGCACUAACCUGGUGUCGUGGUCUGCUAAGCGGCAGCACACGGUCGCUCGCUCCAGCGCCGAGGCCGAAUACAGGGCAGUUGCAAAUGUCGUGGCUGAAACAUGUUGGUUACGGCAGCUUCUUCAGGAGCUUCAUCGACCGGUGACUGGUGCCACUGUGGUGUUUUGUGACAAUGUGAGCUCUGUUUACAUGACACAGAAUCCCGUUCAUCAUCAGCGCACCAAGCAUGUGGAGAUCGAUUUACACUUUGUGCGAGACCGUGUCACCACAGGCGAGGUCCGGGUUCUUCACGUUCCGAGUUCUUCUCAAUUUGCGGACAUUUUCACCAAAGGAUUGCCAUCUCCUCUCUUUCUGGAUUUUCGGGACAGUCUUAACAUUCGCCGACGCCCGUUUACGACUGAGGGAGGGUGUUGGAAUAUAUAA